GCCUGGGUGGCUCAGUUGGUUGAGCAUCUGACUUUGGCUUGGGUCAUGAUCUCCUGGUUCACAGGUUCAAGCUCUGUAUCAGGCU
rnacentral:tRNA from 1 species